GAGGGUAACAGCUCAGUGGUAGAGUGGGUGCUUAGCAUGCAUGAGGUCCUGGAUUCAAUCCCCAGUACUUCCA
rfam:Camelus ferus unplaced genomic scaffold scaffold94, whole genome shotgun sequence.